GGGCUGGGCCAGGGCAGUGUCCUGUACCACGGGCUGGUGCACAGGUCGGAGGAGGAGCUGCAGCGGCUGCAGCAGCGCCGGGAGCAGAAGCUGCAGCUCAAGGCCCAGCGGAGGCAGAAACAGGAGCAGGACCUGGAGAGGAAACGGCACCUGAGGCACCUGAACAGGGAGCGCAGCCUGGCCGGGAUGCGACGCCGGCAGGGCCAGGCCGGGACAGGUGACGGUGCCAGGACAGGUGACGGUGCCAGGACAGGUGACAAGGAGGGCGACAGCGACGUCGAGGACCCCGGCGCACCUGAGCCAGGUGUGGCCACGCCCUCGGAGGACGAGGACGACGCCGAGUACUACAGACAGGAGGUGGGGGAGGAGCCCG